AGUGGCGUACGGGUGAGUAACACGUGACUAACCUACCUUCGAGUGGGGAAUAACCUCGGGAAACCGGGGCUAAUACCGCAUAACAUCUUCUGGCUGAGAUGCCGGUUGAGCAAAGCAGUAAUGCGCUUGAAGAGGGGGUCGCGGCUGAUUAGCUAGUUGGCAGGGUAACGGCCUACCAAGGCAAUGAUCAGUAGCCGGCCUGAGAGGGCGCACGGCCACACUGGAACUGAAACACGGUCCAGACUCCUACGGGAGGCAGCAGUGGGGAAUUUUGCGCAAUGGGGGAAACCCUGACGCAGCAACGCCGCGUGGAGGAUGAAGUCCCUUGGGACGUAAACUCCUUUCGAUCGGGACGAUAAUGACGGUACCGGAAGAAGAAGCCCCGGCUAACUUCGUGCCAGCAGCCGCGGUAAUACGAGGGGGGCAAGCGUUGUUCGGAAUUAUUGGGCGUAAAGGGUGCGUAGGCGGUGCGGUAAGUCUGUUGUGAAAUCUCCGGGCUCAACUCGGAGUCUGCAUCAGA
rnacentral:rRNA from 1 species